rnacentral:rRNA from 1 species
AGAGGGUGCAAACGUUGCUCGGAUUUACUGGGCGUAAAGCGCGUGUAGGCGGACUCGCAAGUCGGUUGUGAAAUCCCUGGGGCUCAACCUAGGAACUGCAUCCGAAACUGCUUGUCUUGAGUAAUGGAGAGGGUGGCGGAAUUCCCGGUGUAGAGGUGAAAUUCGUAGAUAUCGGGAGGAACAUCAGUGGCGAAGGCGGCCACCUGGACAUUUACUGACGCUGAGACGCGAAAGCGUGGGGAGCAAACAGGAUUAGAUACCCUGGUAGUCCACGCCGUAAACGAUGAGAACUAGGUGCAGCGGAUAUUGACCUCUGCUGUGCCGUAGCUAACGCGUUAAGUUCUCCGCCUGGGGAAAUACGGCCGCAAGGCUA